rnacentral:rRNA from 1 species
UACGUAGGGUGCAAGCGUUAAUCGGAAUUACUGGGCGUAAAGCGUGCGCAGGCGGUUAUGUAAGACAGGUGUGAAAUCCCCGGGCUUAACCUGGGAACUGCAUUUGUGACUGCAUAGCUAGAGUACGGUAGAGGGGGAUGGAAUUCCGCGUGUAGCAGUGAAAUGCGUAGAUAUGCGGAGGAGCACCGAUGGCGAAGGCAAUCCCCUGGACCUGUACUGACGCUCAUGCACGAAAGCGUGGGGAGCAAACAGG